AACACGUGAAACUCCGUCGGAAUCCGGGAGGACCAUCUCCCAAGGCUAAAUACUACCUAGUGACCGAUAGUGAACCAGUACCGUGAGGGAAAGGUGAAAAGCACCCCGGGAGGGGAGUGAAAUAGUUCCUGAAACCAUAUGCCUACAAGUAGUCAGAGCUCGUUAAUGAGUGAUGGCGUGCCUUUUGUAGAAUGAACCGGCGAGUUACGUUAGCGUGCGAGGUUAAGGAGGAAAGUCCGGAGCCGUAGCGAAAGCGAGUCUGAAUAGGGCGAGAUAGUACGUUGACGUAGACCCGAAACCAGGUGACCUACCCAUGUCCAGGUUGAAGGUGCGGUAAAACGCACUGGAGGACCGAACCCGUGUAUGUUGAAAAAUGCUGGGAUGAGGUGUGGGUAGAGGUGAAAUUCCAAACGAACUUGGAGAUAGCUGGUUCUCUCCGAAAUAGCUUUAGGGCUAGCCUCGGAGUUAAGAAUCGUGGAGGUAGAGCACUGUUUGGACUAGGGGCCCGUCUUGGGUUACUGAAUUCAGAUAAACUCCGAAUGCCACAGAUUUAUAUCCGGGAGUCAGACUGCGAGUGAUAAGAUCCGUAGUCGAAAGGGAAACAGCCCAGACCACCGAUUAAGGUCCCAAAAUAUGUGUUAAGUGGAAAAGGAUGUGGAAUUGCAUAGACAACUAGGAUGUUGGCUUAGAA
rnacentral:rRNA from 2 species